rnacentral:rRNA from 1 species
GGUUGAUCCCGCCGGACCUGACUGCUAUCGGAUUGAUACUAAGCCAUGCGAGUCAUUGUAGCAAUACAAGGCAGACGGCUCAGUAACGCGUAGUCAACCUAACCUAUGGAUGGGAAUAACCUCGGGAAACUGAGAAUAAUGCCCAAUAGAACACUAUACCUGGAAUGGUUUGUGUUCCAAAUGAUUUAUCGCCGUAGGAUGGGACUGCGGCCUAUCAGUUUGUUGGUGAGGUAAUGGCCCACCAAGACUAUUACAGGUACGGGCUCUGAGAGGAGUAGCCCGGAGAUGGGUACUGAGACACGGACCCAGGCCCUAUGGGGCGCAGCAGGCGAGAAAACUUUGCAAUGUGCGAAAGCACGACAAGGUUAAUCCGAGUGAUUUGUGCUAAACGAAUCUUUUGUUAGUCCUAGAAACACUAACGAAUAAGGGGUGGGCAAGUUCUGGUGUCAGCCGCCGCGGUAAAACCAGCACCUCAAGUGGUCAGGAUGAUUAUUGGGCCUAAAGCAUCCGUAGCCGGCUCUGUAAGUUUUCGGUUAAAUCUGUACGCUCAACGUACAGGCUGCCGGGAAUACUGCAGAGCUAGGGAGUGGGAGAGGUAGACGGUACUCGGUAGGAAGGGGUAAAAUCCUUUGA